rnacentral:lncRNA from 1 species
GCUCUUGAGCUGCAUGAAGUCACUGGAACACAGUAGAGCUUCUGAACCUGUAGCUGGAGAUGAGUAUCACCAGCCAACAUCCUUGGCAGAGCUGUGAGCCAACAGCCAGCCCCAGCCUGCCAGCCGUGUGAGCAAGCAGUCUUGGAAGGUGAUUCUACAGCCCCAGCUGAAACACUCCAACUGAUGCCAUGUGAGCCGAGAAGAGCAGCCAAACUGAGCCCUUCUCAAAUCCCUGAUCCUCCAAAUCUCCUCCUGAAAAGCAUGCAGCCGGCAGAAGAUCUGGAUACCACAGAGACUGAGAUUCUACAUGUGUUCAGA